rnacentral:rRNA from 1 species
UGAAAGGCCAAUCAAACUUCGUGAUAGCUGGUUCUCUCCGAAAUAUAUUUAGGUAUAGCGUUGUGUCGUAGUAUAAGGGGGUAGAGCACUGAAUGGGCUAGGGCAUACACCAAUGUACCAAACCCUAUCAAACUCCGAAUACCUUAUAUGUAAUCACAGCAGUCAGGCGGCGAGUGAUAAAAUCCGUCGUCAAGAGGGAAACAACCCAGACUAUCAGCUAAGGUCCCCAAGUCUUACUUAAGUGGAAAACGAUGUGAAGUUACUUAAACAACCAGGAGGUUGGCUUAGAAGCAGCCAUCCUUUAAAGAAAGCGUAAUAGCUCACUGGUCUAGUGAUUUUGCGCGGAAAAUAUAACGGGGCUAAAGUAAGCACCGAAGCUAUAGACUUAGUUUUACUAAGUGGUAGGAGAGCGUUCUAUUUGCGUCGAAGGUAUACCGGUAAGGAGUGCUGGAGCGAAUAGAAGUGAGCAUGCAGGCAUGAGUAGCGAUAAUUAAUGUGAGAAUCAUUAACGCCGUAAACCCAAGGUUUCCUACGCGAUGCUCGUCAUCGUAGGGUUAGUCGGGUCCUAAGUCGAGUCCGAAAGGGGUAGACGAUGGCAAAUUGGUUAAUAUUCCAAUACCAACAUUAGUGUGCGAUGGAAGGACGCUUAGGGCUAAGCAAGCUAGCGGAUGGAAGUGCUAGUCUAAGGAUGUAGGAGCUUAUACAGGCAAAUCCGUAUAAGAAUACUCCGAGAUCUUAAAGGCUCUUUGAAGUCUUCGGAUGGAUAGGAGAAUUGCUGAUGCCGUCGAGCCAAGAAAAGUUUCUAAGUUUAGCUAAUGUUGCCCGUACCGUAAACCGACACAGGUGGGUGGGAUGAGUAUUCUAAGGCGCGUGGAAGAACUCUCUUUAAGGAACUCUGCAAAAUAGCACCGUAUCUUCGGUAUAAGGUGUGGUUCGCUUUGUAUUAGAAUUUACUUCGAAAGCAAAGAAACUUACAACAAAGAGUCCCUCCCGACUGUUUACCAAAAACACAGCACUCUGCUAACUCGUAAGAGGAUGUAUAGGGUGUGACGCCUGCCCGGUGCUCGAAGGUUAAUUGAUGGGGUUAGCAUUAGCGAAGCUCUUGAUCGAAGCCCGAGUAAACGGCGGCCGUAACUAUAACGGUCCUAAGGUAGCGAAAUUCCUUGUCGGUUAAAUACCGACCUGCAUGAAUGGCGUAACGAGAUGGGAGCUGUCUCAAAGAGGGAUCCAGUGAAAUUGUAGUGGAGGUGAAAAUUCCUCCUACCCGCGGCAAGACGGAAAGACCCCGUGGACCUUUACUACAGCUUGACACUGCUAUUUGGAUAAGAAUGUGCAGGAUAGGUGGGAGGCUUUGAGUAAUAGACGCCAGUUUAUUAUGAGCCAUUGUUGAGAUACCACUCUUUCUUAUUUGGGUAGCUAACUAGCUUGAGUUAUCCUCAAGUAGGACAAUGUCUGGUGGGUAGUUUGACUGGGGCGGUCGCCUCCCAAAUAAUAACGGAGGCUUACAAAGGUUGGCUCAGAACGGUUGGAAAUCGUUCGUAGAGUAUAAAGGUAUAAGCCAGCUUAACUGCAAGACAUACAAGUCAAGCAGGGACGAAAGUCGGUCUUAGUGAUCCGGUGGUUCUGUGUGGAAGGGCCAUCGCUCAAAGGAUAAAAGGUACCCCGGGGAUAACAGGCUGAUCUCCCCCAAGAGCUCACAUCGACGGGGAGGUUUGGCACCUCGAUGUCGGCUCAUCGCAUCCUGGGGCUGGAGCAGGUCCCAAGGGUAUGGCUGUUCGCCAUUUAAAGCGGUACGCGAGCUGGGUUCAGAACGUCGUGAGACAGUUCGGUCCCUAUCUGCCGUGGGCGUAAGAAGAUUGAAGAGAUUUGACCCUAGUACGAGAGGACCGGGUUGAACAAACCACUGGUGUAGCUGUUGUUCUGCCAAGAGCAUCGCAGCGUAGCUAAGUUUGGAACGGAUAAACGCUGAAAGCAUCUAAGCGUGAAGCCAACUCUAAGAUGAAUCUUCUCUAAGCUCUCUAGAAGACUACUAGUUUGAUAGGCUGGGUGUGUAAUGGAUGAAAGUCCUUUAGCUGACCAGUACUAAUAGAGCGUUUGGCUUAUCUUUUUUAUAAGCAU